rnacentral:tRNA from 1 species
CAGGGAGACAACAAAAUGUUUAAUAUUAUUAUUUUGUCACCUUAGGUCGAUCGGUAUCUCACAUUCUUAAUUUAUUGAGGAUUUUAUUUCCUAAGUUUUUUCUAGGUCACACCCAUUACUUUUCCUGGGCCAUUAGCUCAGGUGGUUAGAGCGCACCCCUGAUAAGGGUGAGGUCCCUGGUUCAAGUCCAGGAUGGCCCAUAUCUCUAUGUUGGGGGUAUAGCUCAGUUGGUAGAGCGCCUGCUUUGCAAGCAGGAUGUCAGCGGUUCGAGUCCGCUUACCUCCACUGAUUACCACCUCUUCCAUAAUUUUUAUUAAGGAAAUGUAUUGAGUAGUGAUCAAAUUCUGAACGAAUCUAGCUUCCUAAUGAAAUCAUUAAGAUGCUGGACUCAUUGAAUUAAUUUCAUUGUUNNCAGAGAACCUUGACAACUGCAUAGAUUAUUUUUAAAGACAAUAAGCAUCUUUAUGAUGCAGAUUUAUUAUUUGUGCGAAUGCAUUAAUAACAAUUCUAUUAAGCUGAUGCUUCAAUUAUGAAGUUAUU